GACGAACGCUGGCGGCGUGCUUAACACAUGCAAGUCGAACGAUGAACCCGGAGCUUGCUCUGGGGGAUUAGUGGCGAACGGGUGAGUAACACGUGAGUAACCUGCCCUGGACUCUGGGAUAAGCGUUGGAAACGACGUCUAAUACCGGAUAGGACCUUGGAUCGCAUGAUCUGGGGUGGAAAGUUUUUUCGGUCUGGGAUGGACUCGCGGCCUAUCAGCUUGUUGGUGAGGUAAUGGCUCACCAAGGCGUCGACGGGUAGCCGGCCUGAGAGGGUGACCGGCCACACUGGGACUGAGACACGGCCCAGACUCCUACGGGAGGCAGCAGUGGGGAAUAUUGUACAAUGGGCGAAAGCCUGAUGCAGCAACGCCGCGUGCGGGAUGACGGCCUUCGGGUUGUAAACCGCUUUUAGUAGGGAAGAAGGGCUUCGGCUUGACGGUACCUGCAGAAAAAGGACCGGCUAACUACGUG
rnacentral:rRNA from 1 species